rnacentral:lncRNA from 10 species
GCAGCCAAUUUAUCCAGUCACUUAGUUUCACAGCACAGGAGAAGAUAAGUUAGUUAAGUCGUAAUAGUAUAAGACAAUAAUUUCAAUUUCUAAGGUAGAAGAGGUUGAAGGCAGAGCCUCGGAAAUGAAGGGCAGUGAGUUCUGAGUGUGUUGGUGCCUGGUGAGGACCAGGGGCACCAUGGGAGUGUGUUCACCGAGUCCCAGCCUGAGGGCAGGAAGCCUGACUGUGCCUGGAAGUGGAGGUCCUCCCUGGGGCUGGGUCAUGGAGACCUGGGCGCAGAGCCAGGCCAAGAGGCAUCCCCGCCAUGUUCUCAACAGAGCACGACAGCGGUUCCUGAGGAAGGUGUUAACAUCACUGCUGUUUCCUUUUGCCACAGGCCUCGGCCAGCCAGCAAAGUCCUUCCAAAGGCAGCCCGGGGUCACUGUGUGAAGCCACCAUUUUUAGCAUCCUGGCUGCUGCCGGGCCACAGAGGCACCAGCCAGCUUUAGACUCCUGGAAAAGCAAGGAAUUCAAUCCCUCUUCCACUCAAAUGUGGGCUCCCAAUGUUCUCUGCAAAGACUGAAGUGCUGCCAUAAUUUAUAAGCUGGAAAGAAGAGGUGCAUUGUAUCGAUUUUAGGAGUGUGCUGAGUCUUUUUAAGCUCAUGCAUAAUGAAUGUUCUUUGACUUUUUUUCCAAACAAACUUUCAAGUGGAGCUGUUGUGACGAUGGCUGAAUGUAGUAUGAAAUGCACGCCAUGAAAUGGAACAGAGACAAUGGCUGAUGUGAAGAGGGAGUGAGAUUCCUGCCCUAUUACGAACUGGAGGAGCUUCCCACCACAGCCCAGGGGAAAGCCUUUGGCCGGCUAAAGACCACAGCACGUGUCGGACCUCCUCCUAUGGGCUCAGGGCCCCUCUCCGUGCUGCCUCUCCACCGGCAGCUUUGUCCAGGCAAGGAAGCCUGAUACAGGCACACCCCCGAACUGGGGCUGAGCCCGGGAGGAUUCUUGGCUUCCUGCAGGAAAGAAUUCAAGAGCAAGUCAACGGAGUAAAGUGAAAGCAAAGCAAGUUUAUUAGAACAAAAGAGAACAAGAAAACGGCUGCUGCACAGACACGUCAGGGUUACCCACAGGCAGGGUGGCAUGCGUGGAUUCCCGGCUGGCUACGGUUAUACCUAGUCCUAAUUCUGUGCUAAAUAAGGGGUGGGUUAUUCAUGAACUUUCUAGAAAAGGGGUGGGGAGUUCCCAGAACCACGUGAGGUAGGUUCCAGGGCAUUGGCAAACUGUCAUGGCGCUGGGGGGAGUGUCUUAGGCAAAUGUAUUAUAAUUCCUGGUCCCAGCUGGUGUUGGCUGGUUUCUUUGCUACAUCCCGUUUUGAUCAGCAGGGUCCUGAAAAUGAGUCCUGCUGAUCUCCAGCCUUAAGCCUGCAUCUAAACACCAGGGGUGAUGUGCAGACCUUCAGUGUACACACAAAACUCCACUCACGGGAGAUGUUGGGCUGUAUGGCUAUGCUCAACUUAAAAUGUUUAAAAACAGGCCGGGCGCGGUGGCUCACGCCUGUAAUCCCA